rnacentral:rRNA from 1 species
UGGGGAAUAUUGCACAAUGGGCGCAAGCCUGAUGCAGCGACCCCGCGUGCGGGAUGACGGCCUUCGGGUUGUAAACCGCUUUUGACUGGGAGCAAGCCCUUCGGGGUGAGUGUACCUUUCGAAUAAGCACCGGCUAACUACGUGCCAGCAGCCGCGGUAAUACGUAGGGUGCAAGCGUUAUCCGGAAUUAUUGGGCGUAAAGGGCUCGUAGGCGGUUCGUCGCGUCCGGUGUGAAAGUCCAUCGCUUAACGGUGGAUCCGCGCCGGGUACGGGCGGGCUUGAGUGCGGUAGGGGAGACUGGAAUUCCCGGUGUAACGGUGGAAUGUGUAGAUAUCGGGAAGAACACCAAUGGCGAAGGCAGGUCUCUGGGCCGUCACUGACGCUGAGGAGCGAAAGCGUGGGGAGCGAACAGGAUUAGAUACCCUGGUAGUCCACGCCGUAAACGGUGGAUGCUGGAUGUGGGGACCAUUCCACGGUCUCCGUGUCGGAGCCAACGCGUUAAGCAUCCCGCCUGGGGAGUACGGCCGCAAGGCUAAAACUCAAAGAAAUUGACGGGGGCCCGCACAAGCGGCGGAGCAUGCGGAUUAAUUCGAUGCAACGCGAAGAACCUUACCUGGGCUUGACAUGUUCCCGACAGCCCCAGAGAUGGGGCCUCCCUUCGGGGCGGGUUCACAGGUGGUGCAUGGUCGUCGUCAGCUCGUGUCGUGAGAUGUUGGGUUAAGUCCCGCAACGAGCGCAACCCUCGCCCUGUGUUGCCAGCACGUCGUGGUGGGAACUCACGGGGGACCGCCGGGGUCAACUCGGAGGAAGGUGGGGAUGACGUCAGAUCAUCAUGCCCCUUACGUCCAGGGCUUCACGCAUGCUACAAUGGCCGGUACAACGGGAUGCGACACCGCGAGGUGGAGCGGAUCCCUUAAAACCGGUCUCAGUUCGGAUUGGAGUCUGCAACCCGACUCCAUGAAGGCGGAGUCGCUAGUAAUCGCGGAUCAGCAACGCCGCGGUGAAUGCGUUCCC